rnacentral:rRNA from 1 species
GAUGAACGCUGGCGGCGUGCCUAAUACAUGCAAGUCGAGCGAACGGACGAGAAUCUUGCUUCUCUGAUGUUAGCGGCGGACGGGUGAGUAACACGUGGAUAACCUACCUAUAAGACUGGGAUAACUUCGGGAAACCGUAGCUAAUACCGGAUAAUAUUUUGAACCGCAUGGUUCAAAAGUGAAAGACGGUCUUGCUGUCACUUAUAGAUGGAUCCGCGCUUCAUUAGCUAGUUGGUAAGGUAACGGCUUACCAAGGCAACGAUGCAUAGCCGACCUGAGAGGGUGAUCGGCCACACUGGAACUGAGACACGGUCCAGACUCCUACGGGAGACAGCAGUAGGGAAUCUUCCGCAAUGGGCGAAAGCCUGACGGAGCAACGCCGCGUGAGUGAUGAAGGUCUUCGGAUCGUAAAACUCUGUUAUUAGGGAAGAACAUAUGUGUAAGUAACUGUGCACAUCUUGACGGUACCUAAUCAGAAAGCCACGGCUAACUACGUG